CCGAGUCCCGCUUGUCAUCUCCUCCAACCACUCGUGUUCAUCACGAACACUGUAGCUACCGAACCCAAACCGAGAUCGAAUCGAUCGAUUCGAUCGAUCCUUUGCACCCCCCCGCCUCCAUAUAUAUACUCCCCACAUCCGGCUUGGCCGAUUUUUCGCCAAAAUCGCAGUCUCCCGUGCCCUAGGUUGAUUUCACGAUCUCGCUCGAGUUCCACCGCUACUGACCUCCGCCGUCGUCGUUUCCAUCGCCUACAGGGAGUACCGAACCGAGCGCAAGGACCUCGAUCCGAAGAUCACAGCCACCGCCCGAGCUCCAGCCACCCUCUGCCGUCAACCCCGUUCGCCACCGACGCCUCUCAGGACUUCUUUGAGACCACAGCCAAGCUUCGCGCCCCGUAGGCUACCCUCCGGAGUCUCGAGACCACCGGAGCAGGCGCCACCAUCGCCACCCGAGCCGCCGCGCCGCUGUUUUGUCCAAGUCCGGCCGCCCCAGCCUCUGUUCCUCUCCGAUUGUCCGGAGUGUGAAGCGGAUCGGAAUUAAUCAUUAGAGUACUUCAGCACCGUUCAAGGCAAGUUUGCACUUUUGAUUUUUCUCAUCCUAUAUUCUACUAUGCAUGUGUGGUUUUAUGCUAUGAUAUAUGUUUGGCCUGGUAUGUGUAUCCCGUGUUACCAUGUUUUGUUGUCGAUUGUGGUAUGUGAUGGUGUGAUCAACUUGCUAUGGUAGACGUGGGCAUGUGCCGAGUGAUCCAUGAAAGUGGUGAGUGUUUAUAGCCAUAGGUUCGGGAUUAUUAACCAGGUGAAUGCGUCAUUGGCAGAGCGCUCUAUUGUCCCUAGAGAAUGCGCCAUUGACAGAGUGCACUUGAGGCGAAGUAUAGUUUUUGGGGCAUAAAUCAGGUGAAUGCGUCCUUGGCAGAGCGCUCUAUUGUUCCUAGAGAAUGUGCCACUGACAAAGAGCACUAGAGACAUACUUCUGAAGUUCUUGUCAUGUUUAUUUAGAAUCUUUGGGUUAUCUUGGGCGAGUAAAUUAGAGUUGGUUGUGA